GGUGGAUGCCUUGGCACUAGGAGCCGAAGAAGGACGUUGUAGCCUGCGAUAAGCCUCGGGGAGUUGGCAAACGAACCGUGAUCCGAGGAUGUCCGAAUGGGGAAACCCCGCUGGAGUCAUGUCCAGUGACCCGCACCUGAAUAUAUAGGGUGUGUGGAGGGAACGCCGGGAAGUGAAACAUCUCAGUACCGGCAGGAAGAGAUAUUCCGUGAGUAGUGGCGAGCGAAAGCGGAUGUGGCCAAACCGUGUGUGUGUUCAAGCCGGCAGGUGUUGCAUGUGCGGGGUUGUGGGGGCCUGUGUGAUCCUGCUGCCGUGGGAUCGGCUUGCAUGUGGUGUGAAGUUGAAUCGUCUGGGAAGGCGGACCGUAGUGGGUGAGAGUCCCGUAGACGUGAGUGUCAUGUGUGGUUGUCAGGUUGCCCCAAGUAGCGCGGUACUCGUGGAAUGUCGCGUGAAUCUGGCGGGACCACCCGUCAAGCCUAAAUACUCCUUGGUGACCGAUAGUGGAUGAGUACCGUGAGGGAAGGGUGAAAAGUACCCCGGGAGGGGAGUGAAAGAGUACCUGAAACCGUGUGCUUACAAGCGGUCGGAGCUGCAUUUAUGCAGUGACGGCGUGCCUUUUGUAUAAUGAGCCUACGAGUUGCUCCUGUUGUGCGAGGUUAAGCCCCUAAGGGGUGGAGCCGUAGCGAAAGCGAGUCUGAAAUGGG
rnacentral:rRNA from 1 species